GUUCAAGCCACCGAAAGAUGUUUCGAUUUAUGGCCAUUCUGGAUAGAACGGGUUGAUGAAAGCUUUGUGUGGAAAUUUAUUUGUGAUAUUACACUGCACAACGAGCUCUUUGUUUUCAUAUCGAAGUCGUGAACUUUUCCCACCGUCAGCAUUUAUGACACCUAGUAUUUACUUUAACAGGCACUGCUAUGGAAGCUUUAUCAUAUCAAGUCAUCCCCAUUUGGGCACAAGGAAAUUAUGCAAUUCAAAAGUAACGAAUAAUCUUAGGGACUUUUAGAAGGAAAUUUGAUGUUUCAAAAGAAAAGGAUUUGUACCUGAGUCCUGUUUUACAAGUUACCUGUUAUUGUUACCUAAUGCUAAUAACGAAUAAUUGCAACCUAGCCUUUGUGCAAAAAUGUAUACCUAAAUUUUAUUUAAAAAAAAACAGCGUCCAGAGACUAACCGGUAUUAACUCAACCUAGAAAGUCUAAUGAAUUCAAGCUAUCUGUACUCAUAUUCAGAUUCAUAACCAUAUUCGAACAACGAGUAAGAACAAAAAAAUUUGUUACCACAUGAGGAUUAUCGUUAUUAAUUGAAUGCUUUGCCUCUUCAUGAUUGAACAGCCCUGAUUGGUUCCUUCAUUAAUACUGGAUAACAUCAAUUUCAACUUCUGGAAUCGAAACAUGCAAACCGAAGCAGCAUAUCAAACAAUAAUUCUAGGUUUAUUUUGUCGUCUGUACAUAAUGCGGUUCCUUACAGAUAUUAAUCGGAAGUUUUUAAACAAUAAUACACAUUCGAUAAUAAAUUUCUAGUUAUGAUCGUUGUAGUUUACUGGAUUAAUAAAGGGUUUCCGCUAAAGCUGGAAUGUAUCAUUAUGUAACUGACCAUGUACAUUCGAAAGAAUGAAAUUCAAGAAAUCGUUUUUAUUGCAUGACCUUACUCGUACAUCUAAACGAAAUUAAACAUGCUGCUGUUUCGAUAUCGGUCUGAAAGAAAAAAUUGCAUUUCUAAUGUAUUCGAGAGGACAAUAAUUACCCAUGAUUGAUAUUCCGUAUUAGAUUGAUGAGCAAAAUAAACAAUAUCCAUAACAGUAAAACCGUUUCUAUG